rnacentral:rRNA from 1 species
GACGAACGCUGGCGGCGUGCCUAAUACAUGCAAGUCGAACGCAGUGGGGACGGGUGAGUAACACGUGGGUAACCUCCCAUCAGAGGGGAUAACACUUGGAAACAGGUGCUAAACCGAUACUGAUGGAUGGACCCGCGGUGGAUUAGCCAGUUGGUGAGGUAACGGCUCACCAAGGCCACGAUGCAUAGCCGACCUGAGAGGGGGACCAGCCACACUGGGACUGAGACACGGCCCAGACUCCGACGGGAGGCAGCAGUAGGGAAUCUUCGGCAAUGGACGAAAGUCUGACCGAGCAACGCCGCGUGAGUGAAGAAGGUUUUCGGAUCGUAAAACUCUUUUGUUAGAGAAGCGGUAUCUAACCAGAAAGCCACGGCUAACUACGUGCCAGCAGCCGCGGUAAUUC